UACAGAGGGUGCGAGCGUUGUCCGGAAUUACUGGGCGUAAAGAGCUCGUAGGUGGUUUGUCGCGUCGUCUGUGAAAUUCCGGGGCUUAACUUCGGGCGUGCAGGCGAUACGGGCAAUACUUGAGUGCUGUAGGGGAGACUGGAAUUCCUGGUGUAGCGGUGGAAUGCGCAGAUAUCAGGAGGAACACCGAUGGCGAAGGCAGGUCUCUGGGCAGUAACUGACGCUGAGGAGCGAAAGCAUGGGUAGCGAACAGGAUUA
rnacentral:rRNA from 1 species